rnacentral:lncRNA from 1 species
UUGGUCUGUGUUUGGUGGGGGUGAGCGUACGAUCGAGAGAGAGAGCAAGGGAUGAACCAAAACCCUAACAACACAAAUCCAUCAAAUUGAAAGGGGAAUUGAAGGCUAUUUGGAUGCAUGAACCAGGAAUGUUAAUUACCUAAGUGUUUCUAACAUCAAGAACAAAGAAAGACGAAGGAACAAGUCAAUCCAAGGCGCUAGAAACGCAAGAUUUCGGUAAAUCCUCACUUUAGGCGAUUUGGAGAUUUGGAGCGAGCACGGGUCCAUGUUAUGUUAUACCAAAAGCUUCCGCUAGUUUAUGUUCGUCCUUAUGGUCCAUGACUUGUUAUUUUGUCCAACUUUGUUAGUAGUAGUAUUUUUUUUGCAAAACUUGUUGUCUUUGUUUUGGGUAGUUUAAUGUUAAAAGGGUCGUAGAUUGUUGUUAGUUUAUUAUGUUAAAAACAGGGCGCAUGUUCGUUUUACAAACGGGUCAUGCCCAAUUUUUGUAAGAAUUUUUUUUAUGUAUCAAAGUUGGUAUUUUGACGUUUUUAAAUUAUUUUGUAAGUAAAUUAUUAUUAUGGAAAAGCGGACCUUACAAGUUGGUAUCAGAGCCAAGGUUUGAGGGAUUCGGGCAAGAGUCCUAGCGCUCGAACUCAAACCAAAUGGCUCGUGCUAAUGUGCUCACUCCAAGAUCGCCAAUGAGGAACAAAGAAAGACGAAGGAACAAGUCCAUCCAAGGCGCUAGAAACGCAAGAUUUCGGUAAAUCCUCACUUUAGGCGAUUUGGAGAUUUGGAGCGAGCACGGGUCCAUGUUAUGUUAUACCAAAAGCUUCCGCUAGUUUAUGUUCGUCCUUAUGGUCCAUGACUUGUUAUUUUGUCCAACUUUGUUAGUAGUAAUAUUUUUUUUUGCAAAACUUGUUGUCUUUGUUUUGGGUAGUUUAAUGUUAAAAGGGUCGUAGAUUGUUGUUAGUUUAUUAUGUUAAAAACAGGGCGCAUGUUCGUUUUACAAACGGGUCAUGCCCAAUUUUUGUAAGAAUUUUUUUUUUUUAUGUAUCAAAGUUGGUAUUUUGACAUUUUUAAAUUAUUUUGUAAGUAAAUUAUUAUUAU